rnacentral:rRNA from 1 species
GCCUCCCUCCGCGCCAUCAGACUCCUACGGGAGGCAGCAGUGGGAAUCUUGCACAAUGGACGAAAGUCUGAUGCAGCGACGCCGCGUGAGCGAUGAAGCCCUUCCGGGGUGGUAAAGCUCCUUCGACGGGAACGAUAAUGACGGUACCCGGACGAAGAAGCCCGGCUAACUACGUGCCAGCAGCCGCGGUAAUUC